UACGAAGGGUGCAAGCGUUACUCGGAAUCACUGGGCGUAAAGCGUGUGUAGGCGGUUGAUUAAGUCUGCUGUGAAAGCCCUGGGCUCAACCUGGGAACUGCAGUGGAUACUGGUCAGCUAGAGUGUGAUAGAGGAUGGUGGAAUUCCCGGUGUAGCGGUGAAAUGCGUAGAGAUCGGGAGGAACACCAGUGGCGAAGGCGGCCAUCUGGAUCAACACUGACGCUGAGGCACGAAAGCGUGGGGAGCAAACAGG
rnacentral:rRNA from 1 species